UACAGAGGUCUCAAGCGUUGUUCGGAUUCAUUGGGCGUAAAGGGUGUGUAGGUGGCGCCGUAAGUCGGGUGUGAAAUUUCGGAGCUUAACUCCGAAACUGCAUUCGAUACUGCGGUGCUUGAGGACUGGAGAGGAGACUGGAAUUUACGGUGUAGCAGUGAAAUGCGUAGAUAUCGUAAGGAAGACCAGUGGCGAAGGCGGGUCGUCUGGACAGUUCCUGACACUGAGACACGAAGGCCAGGGGAGCAAACGGG
rnacentral:rRNA from 1 species